rnacentral:lncRNA from 1 species
CGAGAACAGCUCCAUUGAUUUCAAAGGUCAAGAUUUUCAGUUCAUCCCAUUUGGUUUCGGAAGAAGGAGAUGUCCUGGGAUGCCAUUUGGAGUUGCUGCUAUUGAGUAUGUGAUGGCCAACCUUCUCUAUUGGUUUGAUUGGAAGUUACCUGCUGGUGAAAUUGCUGAGAACUUGGACAUGACUGAACUCUUCGGCCUCACAGUCACCAAGAAAACCCCUCUUCAUGUUCUACCUCUGUCUCAUUUCUCUUUUUAAAUAUAUAUAUAUACGUGUGUGUGUGCGCACGCGCGCAAGCGAGCGAUGAUUUUAGGCUUUUAUCACUUUCUUUCUUUGGAGAAGAUAAUAUUACUAUCGUUGGUACUUGUUGUUUUACUGAUAUUGGUCAAGAAAUUCAUUUCGUGCAAGUAAUCAAUACAAUAAUACAAGUAAAAUUAUACAAAUUUGUACGAUGUGAAAUGAAAGAUAAAACUUUUGUGUUGAACUAAAAGGAGUUGCAAACACAAGCUAAACCGCAUAAGAAGUGCUUAUGGAAGUAGGCACUUCUUCAACCACUAUGAAACAAAUAAUAAAAUUGGGAACUGUAAUAAUUAACGUUGAUAAUGGAAAUAUGAAUUAUUACAAAGCAAUAAAAAAGAAAAAUUAGAACACAUAAAUUUUACGUGGAAACCCCUUAUUAGAAAAAUCACAAGUAGAAAAAUAGAAAUUCACUAAUGUUGAAAAACAACAAUACAAGAGGAGUUCAACUACACCUAUUUUAAGGGUUAAACAACCCUAUUAUAAUUAAUGUCUAAUAGGAGAAGUACACUCCUAUACGGAUUUGAUUUGUGAGGGAUGGUCUAUCCCCACAGAUCUCCCUAUUUUGUUCUUUAUUUUAUUUCUUUAACAGGUGAUGGAUUCGGGUUACACAACUCUAACAACAUUCACCUUGACACGAAUUCUCGACGAAUAAGUUCUCCACCUCUUCCACGAAACCCAUUAAGGGUUAUUCUUCAAUAAUGAACACCGACCAAGUCCAAGUAAUGCUCAAACUUGGCUAUAGGAAGUGACUUAGUCAUCAUAUCUACAUGAUUAUCAUGAGUACUAACUUUGCUCACAAUAAUAUCACCACAAGCAAUAAUAUCACGCACAAAAAGUUACCGAACAUCAAUGUGUUUUGUCCUCUUAUGAAACAUUUGAUCUUUCGUAAGGAAUAUGACACUCUGACUAUCUCAAAACAUUGUACUGAUCUGAAGGUCUUUACUGAGUUCACCAAAUAGUCCCUCUAACCAAAUAACUUCUUUACAAACAUUAGUAAUCGUCAUGUACUCAACUUUAGUAGUAAACAAUGCAAUUGUAGUCUACAAAGUGGCUUUCCAACUGAUGGCGCAAUUCUCAAUAGUAAAGAUGUACCCUAUGAGAGAUAUUCUCUUAUCAAGGUCUCCAACAAAAUCAGAAUCAAUGUACCCAAUGACUCUAUCUCUAGUUCUUCCAAACUAUAAGCAAAAAUCAGUAGUACCUCGUAAGUAUCUAAAAAUCCAUUGAACUUCUUUCCAGUGUUCCUUACCGGGAUUCGUCAUGUAUCUACUAACUGCACUAACUACAUAUGAUAAAUCCAGACAUCAACAAACUAUAGCAUACAUGAGAGAUCCCACUGCUCUAGAAUAUGGGACUUGUGACAUGUAGUAAAUCUCAUCAUCUGAUUGUAGAGACAAAGCUGAUGAAAGUCUGAUGUGGGCUACUAAUGGAGUCCUAACGGGCUUAGUACUCUACAUAUUCAACUUGCAAAAAACUUUCUCAAUGUACCCUUUCUGAAUUUGGUACAAUUUACAUGCUUUUCUAUCUCUAAGAAACUCCAUCUCAGGUAUUUUCUUUACUGCUCCCAUUUAUCUCCCAUUUAUCUUUGGUUGAUAUCAACAUGUCAACAUAAAAGAGUAGAUAUACAGAUGAACCAUCACUACUCUUCUUAAAAUAAAAACAAUUGCCAAAACUGGUUAUUGUGAAAUCAUUAGUAGUCAUAAAUGAAUCAAAUCUCUGGUACCACUGCCUAGGUGGCUAUUUCAGGCCAUAAAAAGACUUUUUCAGUAGACAAACAUAGUCAUCCUUUCCUAAGACUAUGAAGCCCUUUGAUUGUUGCAUGUAAAUAUCCUCCUCAAGUUCUCUAUGCAAGAAUGUUGUUUUCACAUCUAACUGCUCAAGCUCCAAAUCUUACACGGACAUAAUAUCGAACUAGGCUUGAAUUGAACUAUGUUUAACAACUAGAGAAAACAGAUCUAUGAAAUCUACACCUGGAAGUUAACUGUAACCUUUUGUAACCAGUCUGGCUUUAUACCUAGAUUCUUCAACUCUUAGAGUCCCUUUUUCUUUCUGAACACCCAUUUACAACUAACAGCCCUUUUACCCUUAGGAAACUUCACUAGGUUCCAUGUACUAUUCUUAUGAUGUGAUUUCAUCUCUUAUUACAUGAAAAUCAUCCACUUGCUUGAAUUUUCACAACUAACUUCCUUGAAACAAGUAGACGGCUCUUGAUUUACAUCUAUAUCUUCAGCAACAUUUAAAGCAUAAGCAACUAAAUUAACCUCACCGAACCUCUUUAGAGGUUUAAUUUCUCUUUUAGAUCUAUUCUUGGCAAUAAAAUAUUGUAGUUCUGACUGUGGUGAAGAAACAAAUCUAUUCUGAGUUUUUGUACUAACCUGAGGAGUAGACUCUGUUGUAGAUCCUGGAUCAAUCUGAAGCUCCACCAAUUUCACACGUGUGUUUAAUCUCUGCUGGUCUUUACCAGAAGAUUCUUUAAGAGGUAAUUUAUGCAACAUAACAGUCUCAUAAAAAUAACAUCUUUGCUAAUUACAACUUUCCUAAUUGUAGGACACCAUAGUUUAUAUCCUUUAACGCCAGCCUUAUAUCCAAGAAAAACACACUUAAUAGAUCUAGGCUCCAAUUUACCAUUAUCAACUUACGCAUACACGGGACACCCAAAAAUCUUCAAAUUAGAAUAAUUAGCAGGAGUAUCAAACCAUACCUUUUGUGGAGUCUUUUUCUCAAUGGCAAUGGAUGGAGAUCAGUUAAUUAGAAAACAUGUUGUACAGGUCGCUUCAGCCCAAAAUGACUUCGGUAAUCACCUGUGAUGGAUUAGAUCGAUAUCUUUACAACAUUGAUACAUGAAAGACAUUAUGGAUCCUAUCCAACUUUAGCAGUAAGGCUAGCCGGUAAGUUACUAGACCAACACACUCCAAAAUCUCAAAUGGUCUUAUAAACUUCGAACUCAACUUUCCCUUCUUUCUAAAUCGAAUAACCUUUUUUUACGGACAAACUUUCAAGAAUAUUCCCCCUACAUUAUAUUCACUAUCUUUCCUCUUAUGAUCAACAUAGGGUUUCUAUCUAUCAAAUGUUGCUUUCAAUCGAUAUCUAAACAGCUUUUCUUUUUAUUUUGUUUCUCUGAUCAAAUCUGUUCCUACUAGCUUGUUUUUGUUCAUAUCUAUCUAUCAAACAGGAGUUCUACACUUCCUUCUAUAUAACGCUUCAUAUGGUGUCAUUUUAAUACAAUAUUGAUAUCUAUUAUUAUAAGCAAACUCAACCAAUGGCAAAUAUCUUUCUCAACUUCCUUCAAAUUCAAUGAUGCAACUUCUCAACAUCUCUUCCAAAAUUUGACUUACCCGCUUUGAUUGUCUGUAACACCCCGUACCCACCCUAAAUGUUAUGAUCAAAUCAUGUAGGUUACAUAAAAAUUUUCUAAACCUAACCUAUAUUGAAAUCCAAAAUUUUAUAGAAACUUACUUUAUUCCUUUGGUAAGAAAAGUUGCCAACCAAAAUGCAUACGUGAAGGUUUUAAUUGUUAUAUUAUAAAACUCAUUUUACUUAAAAUAUCGUGUUGUCAACCUUAUUUACUUGCUUUUUAAAAAUGCGUAUUCCCGAUUAAAAACUUUACAGCAGAAAAAAAAAUUCUUAAGCUUAUUGAAUAUUUUAAAAUUGAAUGCUUAAUUUUUUAUUAUUAUCAGAAAUCAUGCCAAAUUUUUAGUAGCUAACUAAAUACUUCGCAAAUUCCAAAACAACAAUUAAAGUCUGUAAAACGGUCCAACAAUCCCAAGAGUCCAUAAUUUUAAAAUAAACAUUACUAAUAAGUUUUAUAUGAGAUAACCAAUCUGAGCUCCCGAGCGCCACCAAAUCCUAAAUCUGAGAGUUACCUGAAAAGUUUAAGCAAAUGGGCUGAACUAUAAAACUCAGUGUAUGCCUUAGCCCACAAGCAAAAUCACAUAGUAGAAUCAUGCAUAGAUGCAUAUAUCAGAAUAGAGAGACCAAAAUUUAUAACAUGCUUAGCAUAACAAUGCCAUAUAGAAAUUUCUACCCCCAUCCACUACACACCAACUCUGUCCAACUAAUUACACUAAAUAGGGUUACAAGAACCCAUCCAUCCACCAUACUGUAAUGUGGUCGUAUGCCACUAAGAUAAUAUGCAGCUGUGCUGCCAGAAAUAUAUUGCGGGUAUACCGCCAAAAUAGUGCAAUUAGACUGCCAAAAUCAAACUUCCUGUGACACAUAUUCAUAUCCCACCCCAAUGUGUAUGUAAAAAAAAACAUACCAUGGUAUCAUGCUUAAACAUCAUAACAUGCCACAUGGUUUCAUAUCAAAUCAGAUAUAAGUGAUAAAUAUAUACGAGAUGUAGAACAAUAUAUAUUAUAAUUUUCUCAGAGUUUAACUGAUCAUAGACAAAAUUAUACUAAUACGCGAAUGCACAGAUUUUCAUGGCCUAGCAUGCUUAUAGAAUAUUUACAAAUUAGUUUUCAAAAUUUUCAUAUCCAACUCGUAAACGGCCCAAUUUAACAUUUUGAGUUGGCCCACACAACCCACCAGUCCAAACCAUUUAGCCCACACGCCCUACCUAUCCAGGCUGUAUGGCUCACACGGUCGUGUGACAACUAUAACCACCUUCGAUUUUUCAUGCACUUUUCAGUUUUCUAUGAAUUUCCAAAGUUAUUUUGGGUUGGAACACGCACCUGGUUACUAUAGGAAUGUCGGCACCACAACAACAACUAAUUUUGCAUACGACAUUCACAACUAGACCACUUAAUACGAAUAUCUCAAAAAUCAAAACCAAUACUCAACCCCUAAUACAAAAACAAGUAUUUAGCCCUCACCCAAAGCAAAAGAGUUUUCCACAACACCUAAAUCUUCAGAUGAUUAAGUGCUUCAUGAACUUCACCUAAACAAAAUUACAGAAAUUAGUCCAUCACAACCUUGUCGAUCCGAUCUUAAUCAAGUAAUAACUCUCAACUCCACAUAAAACCACCUUCUAUAAAAAAAUUAUAUUUACGAAACAUAGCGAUAACAAACCGACCUUUAAAACCUCCAGCCAAUAAAGAACGGAGAACUAGUGACGACAUUAGAAAAAUUCAAUGUCUGGAUAGAAGCAGAAUGGUAUAGAAGAUGGACGAAAGAGAGGAACAUGGUUGAUAACAGGAAGAUGGGAAAAAUAGCACAAAAGAAAAGAGUAAGAAGUAGAGAGGAAAGGCGGUAAAGAAAAAUUCUAGUAGCAAAAAUGGAAGAAACAAACAAAAUUGAAAACGUGAGAAGUGGGAAAAAUAGGACAACAACUUAGGGACUAGUUUUAGGAAUAUUUUUCUUUUUUUUUAAGAAAUAAUCAAAUAAAAUAAUAAUCUAACCAAAUCCCAUUAAAAUUUGACUUUUUACUAUCUAUCAGAUUGCUAGGAGUUUGAUUUUAAUCCCAUACUUUGUUUUUUCUUUGGAUGACACAACAAGAGAGAAACAAAAAUAAGUUUCGAUUUGAGCACUACAAGAUUUAAACUCAGGUUGUAAAGGGGAAGGAGAAUGAUUAACUAUUGAACCAAUAGACUCAUUCUUGUCAGCAAACUAACAAAAAUAAAGUAUAUCCUACUUGUGGACAGCCAAGUAUAGGUAUAAAAACAAUAAAAAUCCAAGAAAGGGGAUUCAAACACAGAACCUCAAGUACACGUAACUAACAUUUAGCCAUUGCAACAUAUUUAUUUACUUGACACAACUAUAAACCCAGAAACUAAAGGAUUUUAGGGCUUUACAUUAUCCAUUAGUUUUAAGGAUGAAAUGCAGUACUGAAAUUCAAUCAAGUAACUAAAGUUUCAUGUAACUUCUCCUAAAAUCUUGAAGUAAAUCUUGGAUCUCUAUCGGAAAUUAUAGAUAUUAGCAGUCCACGAAGUCUCAAUAUCUCAUCUAUAUACAAUUAUGCAUAUCUUUUCAUUGCAUAAUUUAUUCAAAUAGGGAGAAAACAAGCAGAAUUUGUCAAUUUGUCUAUUAUCACCCAAAUAGCAUAUUUCUUUUUUGGUGUGAGUGGUAACCUAACCACGAAAUCCAUUGUAAUUCUCUCACACUUAUUUCCAUCUUCAACUUAUUUCUUGACCGAUAUUAUAUUUAUACCCUCCCUUUGUGCAUUUUUCACCUCUUGUAACAAAAUUGGUUUCACUUUUAACUUAGCUAGGAACACUCUACUUCGCUCCAACUUCAAAUGUGCAUUCAUUGCCUUUAAAGCUAUCAAUGACUUGCUACUCAACGCAUCAGCCACCACAUUCGCUUUUCUCAAAUAGUAAUCAAUGAUGCAAUAAUAAUCGUUGAAUACUUUAAUCCAUCUUCUUUGUCUCAAAUUUAACUCUUUUUUAGUUAAAUACUUCAAAAUUUUAUGAUAUGUAAAAAUAUAACAUUUUUCUCCAUAAAGAUAAUGUACUCAAAUCUUCAAAGCAAACACUACAACUGCUAACUCUAAAUUGUGUGUGGGGUAAUUUCUUUCCCAUGGUUUCAAUUUUAUAGAAGCAUAUGCACCACAUUUCAAUCUUGUAUUAACACGCAUCCCAAUUCAUUGUGGGGGUAAUUUCUCGAGCUUGUAUUUGUUACAGGCUCAGAUUUUCUUAAUCUCGAAAUGUUACAGGCUCGGAUUGAUACAAACGGGCUUUCGUGCUUCAGACUGUUUUGCCAACUCUAUUCUAAUUCCCACACGUAGCCGUCGACAAACUCUGCUCCUUAACCAACCAUCAUUGAUCAAUCUUUCCUUAGAUUAUCAGUUUUCUUUUCUUAUUUUUUGACUUGAAAUUUCCAGGUUAUCAUUCAAUUUAUAAAUCCGUUCUUCCUUUUUCUUCAAAGCUCGGAAAUCCUUUAAAUAUCAUCUUGAAGGCUUUUGAUUAAAAAAGCUAAUGUGGUGGUGAAUUCCGUAAUAAAUAUUUUUAAUUUAUUCUCAAUAUUAUAGUCUUUUCAUUUUUCUCAUCACAUCAUUUUAAUCCAAACUUCUUGAGAAAUUGUAAUAAAAUAAUGUAUAAAUGAAAUAUAAUUUCUACCGUUGAGUGAUUAUCAAAUGAAACAUUGAUUUUCCAUUUCAUCAUCACAUUCAAAACAUGAAUUCAGUUUAUAUUAAAAUGUUCGAAGUAAUUUAUUAAAUGAAUUUAUUAUAUAAAAUAAUGUUUUUUUUCAUACUCGCUUAAUAGGUUUUGUCCUGAUUAAUUUGAGGUUGAAACUUAAAAAUCAUAUUGCUGAAUUUAUUGAAAAAUAUGGAUUUUUUUCCCAAAAAUACAAAGUUUUAUUUAAAAUGAGAACUCGUAAUUGAAUUUUUUUUAAUUAGGUGCGAUUAACCACCUAUAAAAUCAAGAACAAAGUUAAAAAAAAUUUGUAGGGAAGCGAAAUUAAAUUAUAUAUUUUUACGAUAGUAAAAAUAUAAUUUUAUCAUUUUAAUAGCCUAUAUUUUUAUCAUUUUGAAGUGUCAAAGUGUAAUUUUAUCAUUAGUACUAAUUUAAAAUUUUAAGGAGUUCGAGAAUUAAUUAUGCAGUAAGAAAGUCAGAACAUUGUUAAGCAAACAUUGUCUUAAUUUUUAAAACUAAGUUAAAAUUUGGUAUUUAAAUGUGAUCCACAAAACAAAAUUUUAUUUAUGUACAUCUUUUUAGAGUAAACCAUAUUUUAUUCAAAAGAAAAAAUAUCUUUGAAAAUCUUCAAUUAAUACCGAAAUAUAUUUUAUUUAAAAGAUAAACAAAAUUCAAAUUACUCGAAUUAAAAACCACAUUCCAUUUUUAAUAAAGAUAAAUGAAAUUUAACAUAAUUAUGAAUUCACAAUUCAAUUUAAAGGAAGAUGUUGUCUAAUUUAGUCUCCACGAUGUUAAUAUUUUCUAUCAUACAUGAUUUUGAUUAGUAUAAUAAUAAAUUUAGCCUUCAAAAUUUACACAUCCUAUUAAUUUAGUACUAAUUUAAUAAAUUUAUCUCGUAACAUUUGUAUACAUGUGUAAAUGCUUAAGCUAAAUUUAUUGAUUUUUUAAUUAAGGCCAAAAUGAGAAAAUAUGUAAAUAUUGAAGGUUGAAUUUGUUAUUAUACCAAUAAAAAUUACGCACCAUCAAUGAAAAACAUUAAAUCGUGAUUAAAUUAUGUUUAAUUGAUGAAUUUAAAUUACUUUAAUUAUUUUUAAGGAUGAAUUUGGAAAUUGGAAAACGAAUCCUAUAAUAUCUAACAUAACCAAUCAUAAAAUGCAUGGAAAUAUAAUAACACGUAUGCUUCCACCGAAGUCUACCAAAUCUUGGCUUUUUCUCAACCAACCAUGCAACGUCCCACCAAUCACUUCCUUUUCUUAGUGCUUUUUUUAAAUAUUGUUUUAACUCACGUUUUUUUAAUUUCACCUUUUCUUCUUAUUAAUACUGAUCUCUACUUUACAUAUUUUAAGGUAAUAUAUAUGGGGAGUAAUUUUAUACAGUAAUAUUUUUUAUGUAAAUUAAAAUUUAAGUAAACUAAAACUAUGUUUAAUAUAAAAAAGGAAUUAUUUUUCAUUUCUAAUUUUUUGAAAAGAAAAAUAGAAUUUUAUUGAAAAUUACAACAAAGAAUUAAAUCAGUGGGGUGGAUUGUAAAUGUUAUUAUUCUUUCAAUAAAACAUGAUAUCCAUAAAUAAAUAUUUGGAUUUUUUAAAAAUAUUUUAUUCAUUUGAAAUCGACAAUUGUUUUUGUUAGUAGAAGAUGCCAAGACGAUGGGUGAAAAUAAAGCUACAAGAGAUGCAAGCAUUUGUAGGCUAUAAAAAAGGAGCAAAGUAGUGAAUGCAUUUUAUCAUUAGAUUUGGAAAUGGAGCUCCUGAACCUAACCAAACUUUCCAUCAAUCUUUUGUUUUCAUCUCUGAUUCUCCUUUUCUCCUUGUUAAUUUGGCUUAAACUAGCAAAAAGGAAAACCCUGAAUUUGCCUCCAUCACCUCCAAUGCUACCACUUAUUGGCAACAUCCAUCAGCUUGGCAAACUUCCCCACCGUUCUCUCCGGGACCUCUCUAGGAAAUAUGGUUCUCUCCUACUUCUACAAUUGGGGUAUAACCCAACUGUAGUGGUUUCAUCAGCCGACAUUGUUAGAGAAAUUGUGCAGAACCAUGACAGUGUUUUCUCCAACAGACCAAGGACCACAGCUAUAGAUAUCUUGUUCUACGGAGCCGGCGAUAUGGCUUUUGCACCCAACAAUAAGUUCUGGAAACAAGUUAGGAAGAUCAGUGUUGUUGAGCUUUUUAGCCACCAAAGCUUGCACUCAUUUCAGUUUGUCAGAGAUGAACAAGUUGAACUUCUUAUCAACAAAAUCCGCAGUGCUUGUCUGAAAGGAGAGUCUAUAAAUAUGACAGACAUGCUUAUGUUCGUUUCGAGUAACAUAGUUUCUCGAUGUAUUCUUAGUCACACAACUGAAGAAGAAGAUGGGUGCACCAAGUUUGGGGAGUUAGCUAAAAUGUUGUCGAUUCUCUUCACUAGUUCCUGUAUUGGCGAUAUGUUUCCUUACUUGAGGUGGGUUGAUGUGCUUACUGGAUGUAUUCCAAGUAUGAAAGCAGUCUCUGCGGAAUUGGAUGCAUUCCUUGAUCAAGUAAUUCAGGAGCAUAAAGUUUUUGAAACUGAUCACCAAGUUUCCAAUAAAAAGGACUUUGUAUCUAUCCUUAUGCAACUCCAAAAGGAUGGCAUGUAUGAGAUGGACCUCACUCAAGACAACAUCAAAGCUAUCUUACUGGUUACUAUUCAACAUUGUUUUCGUUCUUUUUCUUUUUGUCCUUUUCUGUGCCUUGAUUUAAUCUGAAGUGUUUACUUUUGAUAAUCUCAGGACAUGUUUGUAGCAGGAAGUGAUAAUUCUACAGCCACAAAAGAGUGGAUGAUGGUUGAGCUUUUAAAGCAUCCAAAUGCAAUGAAAAAGGUCCAAGAAGAGGUGAGAAAUGUGGUGGGAAACAAGUUAAGGGUGGAUGCGGAAGAUGUAAGUAAAAUGAAAUACUUAAAGUGUGUACUCAAAGAAACUUUAAGACUACAUCCGGCUGGUUCUCUUCUGCUCCCUCGACAAACAUCUUCAAGUGUUAAAUUGGGAGGUUAUGACAUUCCUUCCGAUACCACAGUCCUGAUCAAUGCAUGGGCCAUUCAGAGAGAUCCAAAAUGGUGGGAAAAUCCAGAAGAUUUCAUCCCAGAGAGGUUCGAGAACAGCUCCAUUGAUUUCAAAGGUCAAGAUUUCCAGCUCAUCCCAUUUGGUUUCGGAAGAAGGAGAUGUCCUGGGAUACCAUUUGCAGUUGCUGCUAUUGAGUAUGUGAUGGCCAACCUUCUCUAUUGGUUUGAUUGGAAGUUACCUGCUGGUGAAAUUGCUGAGAACUUGGACAUGACUGAACUCUUCGGCCUCACAGUCACCAAGAAAACCCCUCUUCAUCUUCUACCUCUAUCUCAUUUCUCUUUUUAGAUAUAUAUAUAUAUGUGUGUGUGCGCGCGCGCGCGCGAGCGCUACGAUUUUAGGCUUUUAUCACUUUCUUUUCUUUGGAGAAGAUAAUAUUGCUAUCGUUGGCUCUUGUUGUUGGACUGAUAUUGCUCAAGAAAUUCAUAUCGUGCUAGUAAUCAGUUUCAAUAGUACAAGUAAAAUUAUACAAAUUCGUACGAUGUGAAAUGAAAGAUAAAACUUUUGUUUUG